CAGCAGACACAUUCCAGCCAAUCAGCAGCAGACCCUCCCUCCCACCCUCCACCUCCUGGACAGCUCACUAAGAAUGCAGCUUCACAAUGAAUGUAAAAUGGAUGCUGUCCAGGAGGUGGGAGAGUCUGGGAGGGAGGGUCUGCUGCUGAUUGGCUGGAAUGUCUCUGCUG